GACAGAGGUGCCAAGCGUUAGGCGGAAUCACUGGGCUUAAAGCGUGUGUAGGUGGAUGUCUAAGUACCUUGUGAAAUCCCACGGCUCAACCGUGGAACUGCUUGGUAUACUGGAUGUCUUGAGCCACUUAGGGGCUACCGGAACAAAUGGUGGAGCGGUGAAAUGCGUAGAUAUCGAGAGGAACACCGGUGGCGAAGGCGGCGAUCUGGACGAUGACUGACGCUGAGACGCGAAAGCGUGGGGAGCAAACAGG
rnacentral:rRNA from 1 species